rnacentral:rRNA from 1 species
GGGGGGGGGGGGGGGGGGGGCGGGGGCGGGCGGGGCGGGCGGGGCCUUCGGGGCUGGGGGCGCACGGGGGCGUACCGCGUGGGGGCCUGCCCGUCGGUUCGGACUCACUCCCCGCACGGCGUGCUCCUCCCGGAUAGUGUCGUCUGACCAAAGAUUUAUCGCCUUUGGCUGGUCCCGCGUGGGAGUAGCUAGUUGGUAGGGUACAAGCCUACCAAGGCGACGAUCCAUAGCUGGUCUGAGAGGAUGAUCAGCCACACUGGGACUGAGACACGGCCCAGACUCCUACGGGAGGCAGCAGUGGGGAAUAUUGGACAAUGGGCGAAAGCCUGAUCCAGCAAUGCCGCGUGAGUGAUGAAGGCCUUAGGGUUGUAAAGCUCUUUUACCCGGGAUGAUAAUGACAGUACCGGGAGAAUAAGCUCCGGCUAACUCCGUG